rnacentral:rRNA from 1 species
CUAUACAUGCAGUCGAGCGAACGGAUAAGGAGCUUGCUCCUUUGAAGUUAGCGGCGGACGGGUGAGUAACACGUGGGUAACCUACCUAUAAGACUGGAAUAACUUCGGGAAACCGGAGCUAAUGCCGGAUAACAUAUAGAACCGCAUGGUUCUAUAGUGAAAGAUGGUUUUGCUAUCACUUAUAGAUGGACCCGCGCCGUAUUAGCUAGUUGGUAAGGUAAUGGCUUACCAAGGCGACGAUACGUAGCCGACCUGAGAGGGUGAUCGGCCACACUGGAACUGAGACACGGUCCAGACUCCUACGGGAGGCAGCAGUAGGGAAUCUUCCGCAAUGGGCGAAAGCCUGACGGAGCAACGCCGCGUGAGUGAUGAAGGUUUUCGGAUCGUAAAACUCUGUUAUUAGGGAAGAACAAAUGCGUAAGUAACUGUGCGCAUCUUGACGGUACCUAAUCAGAAAGCCACGGCUAACUAC